GACGAACGCUGGCGGCGUGCCUAAUACAUGCAAGUUGAGCGAUGAAGCUUGGUGCUUGCUCCAAUUUGGAUAGCAGCGGACGGGUGAGUAACGCGUGGGUAAUCUACCUUUGAGAGGGGGACAACUUUUGGAAACGAAUGCUAAUACCGCAUAACAAAUUUAACCACAAGUUUUAAGUUUGAAAGAUGCAAUUGCAUCACUCAAAGAUGAUCCCGCGUUGUCUUAGCUAGUUGGUGAGGGUAAGGCUCAACAAGGCGAUCAUACAUAGCCGACCUGAGAGGGUGAUCUGACACAGUGGGAAUGAGACACGGGCCCAACACCCACGGGAGGCAGAGGAAGAGAAUCUUCGGCGAUGGACGAGAGUCUGACCGGGAGACGCCGCGUGAGUGAAGAAGGGUUUCGGAUCUUAAAACUCUGUGUGUUGAGAAGAAAAUAGGUGAGAGUGGAAAGCUCAUCAAGUGACGGUAACUACACAGAAAAGGACCGCUAACUACGUG
rnacentral:rRNA from 1 species